rnacentral:rRNA from 1 species
AGUUAAGUGAACAAGGGCAUACGGCGGAUGCCUUGGCGCCAAGAGCCGAUGAAGGACGCGGUAAGCUGCGAAAAGGCAUGGGUAGGAGCAAGCAUCCAGUGAUCCAUGCAUAUCCGAAUGGGGCAACCCACCAUCAGUCAUGUGAUGGUACGAAAGAGGCAGACCUGGGGAACUGAAACAUCUAAGUACCCAGAGGAAAAGUAAUCAAUUGAGAUUCCCUAAGUAGCGGCGAGCGAAAGGGGAAGAGCCCAAACCAGAUAACUUCGGUUGUCUGGGGUUGAGGACCGGCAAAAAGAGGAAACUUCUUAGUCGAAUGGUUUGGAAAGGCCAUGCAUAGAAGGUAAAACACCUGUAGGCGAAAAGAAGUCAAUCGGGCUGGUAUCCAGAGUACUGCGAGACACGUGAAACCUUGCAGGAAGCAGGGGGGACCACCCUCCAAGGCAAAAUACUACUUGGCGACCGAUAGCGCAUAGUACCGUGAGGGAAAGGUGAAAAGAACCCCGGGAGGGGAGUGAAAUAGAACCUGAAACCGUAUGUCUACAAGCAGUCGAAGCACCUUAAGAGUGCGACGGCGUGCCUAUUGAAGAAUGAACCGGCGAGUUACAUUAUGUUGCGAGGUUAAGUGGGAGACACGGAGCCGAAGCGAAAGCGAGUCUUAAUAGGGCGACUAGUAACAUGGUGUAGACCCGAAACCGCAGUGAUCUAUCCAUGGUCAGGUUGAAGCGCAGGUAAAAAUGCGUGGAGGACCGAACCCGUGAGUGUUGAAAAACUUUGGGAUGAACCGUGGAUAGGGGUGAAAUGCCAAUCGAACGCGGAGAUAGCUGGUACUCCCCGAAAUAGCUUUAGGGCUAGCCUCAGGGAAGAUUAUAGACGGUAGAGCACUGAUCUGGCAAGGGGGCGUAAAGCCUACCGACCCUAGUCAAACUUCGAAUGGCUAUAAUUAAGACCCUGGGAGUCAGACUGCGAGUGAUAAGACCCGUAGUCAAGAGGGAAACAGCCCAGACCGCCGACUAAGGUCCCCAAUGCUGUACUAAGUGGAAAAGGAUGUAAGACUUCAUAAACAACCAGGAUGUUGGCUUAGAAGCAGCCACCAUUAAAAGAGUGCGUAAUAGCUCACUGGUCGAGAGGCCUUGCGCCGAAGAUGUCCGGGGCUCAAGUACAGAACCGAAGUCGCGGCAGGAUUUAUAAUUCUGGGUAGGGGAGCGUUGUAUAUCCGACUGAAGGUGUACCGGAAGGAGCGCUGGAGGAUAUACAAGAGAGAAUGCCGGUAUGAGUAGCGAAAAGAACAGUGAGAAUCUGUUCCACCGAAAGCCUAAGGUUUCCUGAGCAACGCUCGUCGACUCAGGGUAAGUCGGGACCUAAGCCGAGGCAAAAAGCAUAGGCGAUGGACAACAGGUUAAUAUUCCUGUACCGCUUCAAAUCGUUUGAGCAAUGGAGUGACACAGAAGGUAGCUUGAGCACGCGAAUGGAUGUGCGUGUCGAAGGUGGUAGGUUGCAGUAUAGGCAAAUCCGUACUGUAUAAGACCGAGAACUGAUAGAUAGAC